AGUUGUUGGUGGCAAGGAGAGAGACAUGAAGGGAUGGACUGGGAGAUGUGUGUUCCAGAACGAAGGAAAAAGGGUAGCAGAGUCCUGUCGUCAAUUUUCUUAAGGGAUUUGUGGCAUGAGGACCACUUGGAAUGAUGUAAGCACAUGCUGCCUUAUCAAUGCCUUCAAUCCAGCGGCUGUGGAAACUGGGUAAAAAAACGUACAACUUUUCAGAGCAUCUGAAGACAGAAAGGAAAGACAAGAAGAAACUGUAAACUGUUCAGAUAGCUGGGGACAGAUUCCACAUAUAAUUGAUAUCAUAUCCAAGGAAAACCCUAAUUGGAAAAGAUACAUGCACCCCAAUGUUCAUUACAGCACUGUUUAUGAUAACCAAAACAUGAAAGCAACCUAAAUGUCCAUCAACAGAGGAAUGGAUAAAGAAGAUGUGGCACAUAUAUGAAAUACAUAAAUGAAAUACUACUCAGCCAUAAAAAAUAAUGAAAUAAUGCCAUUUGCUACAACAUGGUUGGACCUAGAGAUGAUCAUAGUGAGUGAAGUCUGGACAAAGCUCCCAGGUGACAAUGAUGGGCCUUGUUGGUGUGCAGUGCUGGUGGAACAGUGAGUACAGAGGAGAGGGCUUGUGGUCUGUGUGUUUCACUGCAGGAUACAAAUCCUGCAGCCGAAUCUGGCAACUAUUAUGAGGCUGAAAUAAGCACAUAUAGUCACCGAACAAAGCCACCAAAUUAUGUGUUUAACAUAAUAAUAAUUAUAAAAGCUUUAUAGGCAUCAUUUUGAACUAUCUACUGCCAUGAGUCCCGAGGGCUUCCUUCAACUCUGGGGAACACUGAAAAAUGAACAGUGACAGGAAGCUGGGGUGGAGAGCGGGCUCAGCCAUUAGUUUUUUUUGUGUGUGUGAGCAAUUGUUUUAAAGUUCAAAUGCAAUACUCACUGUAUCAUUUGUCCCCACAAAUUACCCCUUAGAUGGUUUACUACGAGUGCCAGCUUCUCUAGGGUACCUUCAGGAUUUUUACAAGUGGGCCCAGCAAACAAUGAUUAUUCUUCUUCAAGAAACUAUCCAGAGUGGCUUGUUACAUGACAGACAUGUGGUUUGAGUUUUGUUGUAAAGGCAGAACAAAGGAUCUGAGAGUGUUUCUUUUCAUUAUUGGAGCUGUGUGGCUCUGGGGGAACACGAGAUAGUUCAUUAUUCAAAUGAGAAUUUUUUUUUGCCUUUCAUUUUCGGUUUUAUUUCUGUAUAUCCAUGACAUUUCAGCAAGCAAGCUGCCUCCUCCAGAAGCACCAUCUGCUUUUCUUUUCAACUGUGACACCAUCUGAGAGAAUACCUUCUCACUCUUAGAAAUACAUGUGGGGUGAGGGGAAUGGUGUUGUCAAUUAUAUAUAUGGUUACGUAUGAAUAUAUACACAUAUAGGUAUGUAUCUCUCUGUGUGCAUGUGUACUCUUUUGCUUGUGUUAACACUAGAGCACAGAUGUACAAUCAAGAAAUUUGGUUUCAGUAAGAUAACCAAGCAAACAUUUCCAACCCAACUUUCUCUCAUGUCUCAAAAUCCUUCUCAGUGCAAUAGGAUGUCAAUUUCAUGAGCACAGGGAUUUUUGUCCAUUUGUUUAUUCCUAUAUUUCUGGCAUCUAAGAGAGUGUCUUGUGGGAGUUCCCCUCAUGGCUCAGCAGUAAAUGAACUCGACUAGGAUCCAUGAGGAUGAGGGUUCGAUCCCUGGCCUCGAUCAGUGAGUUAAGGAUCUGGCAUUGCCAUGAGCUAUGUUGUAGGUCACAGACAUGGCUCGGAUCCCAUGUUUCUGUGGCUGUGGCAUAGGCUGGCAGCUGUAACUCCCUCUGAUUUGACCCCUAGCCUGGAAGAGAAAAAAAAAAAAAAAAAAAAAAAAAAAAA
rnacentral:lncRNA from 1 species